GAUGAACGCUGACAGAAUGCUUAACACAUGCAAGUCGAUGGGGAAGUGGUGCUUGCACCAUGGUAACCAUGGCGGACGGGUGAGUAACACGUAAGGAACUUACCUGCCGGACCGGGAUAACAGCAGGAAACUGCUGACAAGACCGGAUAAGGUCAUUAAGCUGCAUAGCUUAGUGAUGAAAGGAGACGCCUGCGGAGAGCCUUGCGUCCUAUUAGCUAGUUGGAGGGGUAACGGCCCACCAAGGCGAAGAUAGGUAGCCGGCCUGAGAGGGUGGACGGCCACAAGGGGACUGAGAUACGGCCCUUACUCCUACGGGAGGCAGCAGUGGGGAAUAUUGGACAAUGGGGGCAACCCUGAUCCAGCAAUUCUGUGUGCACGAAGACGGUUUUCGGAGUGUAAAGUGCUUUCAGCAGGGAAGAAGGAAGUGACGGUACCUGCAGAAGAAGCGACGGCUAAAUACGUG
rnacentral:rRNA from 1 species